GCCCGGGUGGUGGAAUUGGUAGACACGAGGGACUUAAAAUCCCUUGAGGCAAUACCUCAUGCGAGUUCGAGUCUCGCCCCGGGCA
rnacentral:tRNA from 1 species